GGCAACUUGGCCGAGUGGUCUAUGGCGCAUGACUCAAGAGUUCCUCUUACCCAGUGCACAACACUAGGGAGCAUUCAUGUCUUCGAAAGGGGGCGAGGGUUCGAAUCCCUCAGUUGUCA
rnacentral:tRNA from 2 species